UCAUCCAACUCAAAUGCUGUGUUUCCAUUUGUAAAUUCUUCCAUUAUUACCUGUUUAGACAAAAUGGAUCUGUAGCACUUGCGCAGUAACCUGCAUGUCUGUAAAAAGCCGCUUGCUGGGCUAGAAAGAGAAGGGAAGCCUCUGCUAACCAAAGAUAACGAAUUAGCUAGAUAAAUAAAAGCGUUGUACAGUCAUUUAGCUAGCUAUUUUAAUAUAUGAUUAAAUAAACGACGAAGAUAGUGGCGUAAUAUUGUUGCUGUUGGUAAUCUUAGUUUGCAAUGCUAUGCUAACUUUAGCUAGCUACGUAGCUAACGUUACUUGACUAUUAUUUCCAAAGCUGCAAAAUAAGAAGUUAUCAAUCUAACAUUAAUCCUCUACAAUAUAUAUUUGUCUCACAAUAUAUAACGCAGCUGAUGACGAAGAUGCUGCUUUUUGGCAACACCUUCUGUCCAAAGAAUACCCCAGCUGAUGUCGAAGAUGCUGCUUUUUGGCAACACCUUCUGUUCUGCAAGUCUGUUUCUCUCUCACGCCCAAAAACAUUCGGCACAAUGUGCCUCUGUUGUCUUUUAUGUGAAGGAAGUUUCUACAUCCCCCCUCUUAAUUUGUUGAGUCUAGUUGGAUUGGUCUACGAGGGAAAUAGAGUUGGGUCUUGAGUAUGGAGCCCCUGUUAUGAACAUUGGGGGCCAUAGCUUGACAUUUGAAGACGGACAAUGGAUUGCUGUCUGAAGGGAAUGUAUCUGGGAAGGAGGCGCAGACUGAAAAAUAGCAACCUAUAGCUUGAAAAGGAGAACAACCUACUCAGGCUGAAGAUUAACCUCCUGUUGGACAUGUUGUCAGAAACCACUGCAGAGUAUCACCUGAUGGAGAAGGAGCUGGAAAAGAUGAAGAUUCACAGUCGAAGGAAGAAGUGAUGAAUAGAAAAUUACAGACAGGUUCCCAGUGAAACCUGAAAAUGAAGAAGGGAAUAGAUAAAGGAUCGUGAGUGUUAGUGACCAA